rnacentral:rRNA from 1 species
UACGUAGGGACCGAGCGUUGUCCGGAAUCAUUGGGCGUAAAGAGCGUGUAGGCGGCUUGCUAAGUCUUGCGUGAAAUCUCGGGGCUCAACCCCGAGCGGUCGUGGGAAACUGGCAGGCUAGAGUGCGGGAGAGGAGAAUGGAAUUCCUGGUGUAGCGGUGAAAUGCGCAGAUAUCAGGAAGAACAUCCGGUGGCGAAGGCGGUUCUCCUGGAACGCAACUGACGCUGAGACGCGAAAGCGUGGGGAGCAAACAGG